rnacentral:rRNA from 1 species
CUCCCUCGUUGCUGACCCCAGGAUCGAUAGUACCAAUUAGGCAUCACCUCGCCAAGAACCAACUUCGAUGAAGCGACGGGCGGUGUGUGCAAGG